rnacentral:misc_RNA from 1 species
UUAAAACCAACUUAUUAAAUACGACACAAAAUGUUUCAAAAAAAAAAAAUCAUAAACUGGAUUUUUAGAUGCCAUUUUGAAGACUAUGUUAAUGUGUAGCAUGGGAUCUCUACCAAAGUGAGCUUUUGUUUAUGCAAGUGAUCGCUCAUUUCAGCUUACAUAGGCUCACCAAUAGCAGUUUGUUUAUAUUAAUUAGCGGCAACAAUAAAUGGUUUAGAAUCUGCGUUCCCCUAAUUUAUUAUGGUAAAUGUCACAUAAAGGACACAAAUACUUGGCUAAUCUAGCUUGAGCUCAACUUGAUUAGUUGAAUUUGUAUAUUUUAUGGGUCAAGCUCAAGCAGCUUGAGUUGAUUACUCGCUUAAUUUAGUGCUUCAGUUAGAAUCUAUUGGCCUAGCAUGCUCAAGUUGGACCUAAUAUGGAAUUUAAGAAAGCUUGGGUUAAUUGGUUCAAGUAGGUGAUUUAUCUGGUUGGAUUUUCAGUUUGAGCUAUAAUUCUGCCAUCAAAUUUUGUAAUUAUUUUGUAUCUUUGGAGAGAUUGAAAUUCAGAAA